UCUUCUUUUUUUAUUGUUAGGCUCUUGCCAAAAUAACUGCAAAACAUGCCUCAGCUGAAUACUAGACCCCCAACUAAAACUGGUGAAUUGACCUCACCUUUGCCACUUUACAACUUGCAGUGAAUUUAGUGUUUAACUCCAUUGCUGUACAUCUGGUACUAAUGACACAGCAUCUGCUGCAAUACUCCCAAUUCACCUGAUAUGGCUGCAAUUGCACUACUGGGAAGAUGGGUGUUAAUUAUUUUAUGCAAGUAUUUUACUGCAAUCUGCCUCCACCAGGCUUCUAGGAAAACUCGUACUGGCGAUGCUAAUCACUAGCUGGCUGGUAAAGAAGUUACGUGCCAGCAAACCUUGUUCAAAAUCUAAUUGGGUAUGUUAAAGACAGUUACUGUAAUAAUUCUCCUUGAUGAUCAAAUGCUUUGUGGAUCAUCGGGUGCAUUAAUUAUCCACAUUCCCUGCCAAGCUAACUUCUGGUGAGCUCCCAUGUUCCUUCCAGUGUGUAGAUGAAGACAAGGAAGCCAGAGACAUUUUGUCAGUCAUGUAAACUGAUAUCAAAGCUAUUCUUGAAAAACUUUUUUAUAACAAAGGUCUGUAAUCUGCUGCCAGUGGGACUAAUUACAUGCAUGGUCCUGAGCCAGACUGUGGGUGAGAAAGGAUGAGUACAAGAAGAGAUCACAACCCUCUGACUGCAGGAUCAUGAGCAGGGCGCUCCCUGCUCCCUCUCUCUGAAGAAAGAAGUUUUCUGUGUUAGAUCCUGUGUCGUGGUUUAAGCCCAGCCGGUACCUCGGAACCACGCAGCCGCUCGCUCGCUCCCUCCCUCCCUUUCCCCUCCCCGCUCCCGGAGGGAUGGGGAGGAGAAUGGAAAGAACGUAACUCCCACGGGUUGAGAUAAGAACAGUCCAGUAAUUAACGUAUAAUAUAAAACUACCACUGCUACCACCAAUAAGGGAAAUAACAAAGGGAGAGAAACCCAGGGCACCCCGUUUUAUCAGCACCGACCCGGGAAGCACGUUUUCACACAAAAAUCUUGCAAACAGAUUCAGCAUACGAGUCUUGGCGUUGUUACCUGUGCUAACAGACUUAGCACACACACAUUAUUUGCUCGUUACGAGCAAUACCUGAGCGGCUCCCGACGCGCACUUCCGAUGCCGCCCCGCUGGGGCUGAGUUAGGGCCGAGCCGAUUUUAACCACCAGCCCAGUGCGGUGCAGUCCCGUCCCGCACCACCGCGGAAGCGACACU
rnacentral:lncRNA from 1 species